rnacentral:sRNA from 1 species
UAUAACGAAAUACUGUUAUUAUAGUUUUAUAUGCUGGUGUUACUUAGAAGGGAGUAUCAAACGUUCUACCCGAAGAGGUAUUGUUCGGUAUCAAUGCGGAUAUAAAAAAAGCGCCUUUCGGCGCUUUUUUU